rnacentral:rRNA from 1 species
UACGUAGGGGGCGAGCGUUAUCCGGAUUUACUGGGCGUAAAGCGCGUUAAGGCGGUUGGCAAAGUUGGUUGUGAAAUCUCUGGGCUCGACCCAGAAAUUGCGACCAAUACUGGUCGACUAGAGUGCAAGAGAGGAAGGUGGAAUUCCCGGUGUAGUAGUGAAAUGCGUAGAUAUCGGGAGGAACACCAGUGGCGAAGGCGGCCUUCUGGCUUGCAACUGACGCUGUAGCGCGAAAGCGUGGGGAGCGAACCGG